UUUAAAUAGUUUAAAAAAAUAUUAGUUUGUGGGACUAAAGAUGUAUAUUUAUACUUUAAAUUU
rnacentral:tRNA from 1 species